CCUACGGGAGGCUGCAGUGGGGAAUAUUGCACAAUGGGGGAAACCCUGAUGCAGCGACGCCGCGUGAGCGAUGAAGUAUUUCGGUAUGUAAAGCUCUAUCAGCAGGGAAGAAAAUGACGGUACCUGACUAAGAAGCCCCGGCUAACUACGUGCCAGCAGCCGCGGUAAUACGUAGGGGGCAAGCGUUAUCCGGAUUUACUGGGGGUAAAGGGAGCGUAGAUGGCGGUGCAAGCCAGAUGUGAAAGGCUGGGGCUCAACCCCGGGACUGCAUUUGGAACUGUGCUGCUAGAGUGUCGGAGAGGCAGGCGGAAUUCCUAGGGGAGCGGGGAAAUGCGUAGAUAUUAGGAGGAACACCAGUGGCGAAGGCGGCCUGCUGGACGAUGACUGACGUGGAGGUUCGAAAGCGUGGGGAGCAAACAGGAUUAGAUACCCGAGUAGUC
rnacentral:rRNA from 1 species